rnacentral:tRNA from 1 species
CAAAACGUAGCUUAAAAAAAGCAUCUCGUUUACACCGAGAAAAUACCUGUUAAAAUCAAGUCAUUUUGA